AUCUAGCCAUGGGCAGGUUGAAGGUUGGGUAACACUAACUGGAGGACCGAACCGACUAAUGUUGAAAAAUUAGCGGAUGACUUGUGGCUGGGGGUGAAAGGCCAAUCAAACCGGGAGAUAGCUGGUUCUCCCCGAAAGCUAUUUAGGUAGCGCCUCGUGAACUCAUCUUCGGGGGUAGAGCACUGUUUCGGCUAGGGGGCCAUCCCGGCUUACCAACCCGAUGCAAACUACGAAUACCGAAGAAUGUUAUCACGGGAGACACACGGCGGGUGCUAACGUCCGUCGUGAAGAGGGAAACAACCCAGACCGCCAGCUAAGGUCCCAAAGUCAUGGUUAAGUGGGAAACGAUGUGGGAAGGCACAGACAGCCAGGAUGUUGGCUUAGAAGCAGCCAUCAUUUAAAGAAAGCGUAAUAGCUCACUGGUCGAGUCGGCCUGCGCGGAAGAUGUAACGGGGCUAAACCAUGCACCGAAGCUGCGGCAGCGACGCUUAUGCGUUGUUGGGUAGGGGAGCGUUCUGUAAGCCGUUGAAGGUGUCCUGUGAGGGGUGCUGGAGGUAUCAGAAGUGCGAAUGCUGACAUAAGUAACGAUAAAGCGGGUGAAAAGCCCGCUCGCCGGAAGACCAAGGGUUCCUGUCCAACGUUAAUCGGGGCAGGGUGAGUCGACCCCUAAGGCGAGGCCGAAAGGCGUAGUCGAUGGGAAACAGGUUAAUAUUCCUGUACUUGGUGUUACUGCGAAGGGGGGACGGAGAAGGCUAUGUUAGCCGGGCGACGGUUGUCCCGGUUUAAGCAUGUAGGCGGAGGUUCCAGGUAAAUCCGGUUCCUUGUUAACGCUGAGGUGUGAUGACGAGGCACUACGGUGCUGAAGUAACAAAUGCCCUGCUUCCAGGAAAAGCCUCUAAGCAUCAGGUAACACGAAAUCGUACCCCAAACCGACACAGGUGGUCAGGUAGAGAAUACCAAGGCGCUUGAGAGAACUCGGGUGAAGGAACUAGGCAAAAUGGUGCCGUAACUUCGGGAGAAGGCACGCUGAUAUGUAGGUGAAGUCCCUGCGGAUGGAGCUGAAAUCAGUCGAAGAUACCAGCUGGCUGCAACUGUUUAUUAAAAACACAGCACUGUGCAAACACGAAAGUGGACGUAUACGGUGUGACGCCUGCCCGGUGCCGGAAGGUUAAUUGAUGGGGUUAGCGGUAACGCGAAGCUCUUGAUCGAAGCCCCGGUAAACGGCGGCCGUAACUAUAACGGUCCUAAGGUAGCGAAAUUCCUUGUCGGGUAAGUUCCGACCUGCACGAAUGGCGUAAUGAUGGCCAGGCUGUCUCCACCCGAGACUCAGUGAAAUUGAACUCGCUGUGAAGAUGCAGUGUACCCGCGGCAAGACGGAAAGACCCCGUGAACCUUUACUAUAGCUUGACACUGAACACUGGUCCUUGAUGUGUAGGAUAGGUGGGAGGCUUUGAAGCGUGGACGCCAGUCUGCGUGGAGCCAACCUUGAAAUACCACCCUUUAAUGGCUGGUGUUCUAACGUAGACCCGUGAUCCGGGUUGCGGACAGUGUCUGGUGGGUAGUUUGACUGGGGCGGUCUCCUCCCAAAGAGUAACGGAGGAGCACGAAGGUUAGCUAAUCCUGGUCGGACAUCAGGAGGUUAGUGCAAUGGCAUAAGCUAGCUUGACUGCGAGAGUGACGGCUCGAGCAGGUGCGAAAGCAGGUCAUAGUGAUCCGGUGGUUCUGAAUGGAAGGGCCAUCGCUCAACGGAUAAAAGGUACUCCGGGGAUAACAGGCUGAUACCGCCCAAGAGUUCAUAUCGACGGCGGUGUUUGGCACCUCGAUGUCGGCUCAUCACAUCCUGGGGCUGAAGUAGGUCCCAAGGGUAUGGCUGUUCGCCAUUUAAAGUGGUACGCGAGCUGGGUUUAGAACGUCGUGAGACAGUUCGGUCCCUAUCUGCCGUGGGCGCUGGAGAAUUGAGGGGGGCUGCUCCUAGUACGAGAGGACCGGAGUGGACGCAUCACUGGUGUUCGGGUUGUCAUGCCAAUGGCACUGCCCGGUAGCUAAAUGCGGAAGAGAUAAGUGCUGAAAGCAUCUAAGCACGAAACUUGCCCCGAGAUGAGUUCUCCCUGAGACUUUAAGUCUCCUGAAGGAACGUUGAAGACUACGACGUUGAUAGGUCGGGUGUGUAAGCGCAGCGAUGCGUUGAGCUAACCGAUACUAAUGAACCGUGAGGCUUAACCUU
rnacentral:rRNA from 1 species